GAUAAUUUAACGUUCAUUUUACGUAAUUGUCGUGACCGGUAUAAAAGAUAUCGUUACAUCAUCGCGAUAUGUCGCGUUUCUCGAAAGUUCUCCCGCAGGAAUGCAAGUAACUGCAUGAUCAUUUCUCGCAUAGUUACGACGGGAUACUCGUCCAUUCGACGUCACGAGAAUGGCCGGUGCGGCAUACGUCGCGAAAAUGGGAGACGCUAUAUUUGUACGAAUUUUGGAGGAUAGUCUAGAAGUUUUAUCUAUCAACUUGUUCUCGUGCGAUUAUAAAAUCAACGUAAUCGACGAGACCGACAAAUUGAGAGGAGGAGGAAAUCUAGGAAAGGCAUCGGGCGCCAGCAAAAGCAACUCUAAAAAAAAUGGUCAUGAUCAAUCAACGUAGCUUACAGUCAACUUUGCUGUUGCGCAUCGAUUGAUAAGUGAAAAAUUAUUAUUUUAUUACGAGGUAACAGUUGUAGAGUGUGAAAAUGUAGAUCUAGGUUGUAUAGAUUGUAGACUGUAGAUUGUAGAUAGUUCUGUUACCUCAAAAUGAAUGGAUUAAAAAAAUUAUAACAGAUUAAAACCAAUACUUCAAUUUACCCAAAAAGACAAAAAUAUUUUAUAAUACAUAGUAAAUUUAACUCAAUUUAUUUUACAAAGAACAUACUAAAAUAAUUAUGAUUAGGUAAA